UAUAACCUUAAGAGCCAAAGGAAGCUUUGCUGCAACGUUUACAAAUUCAUCACAUAUAGCACCAUAACCUUCCGGAAUGUAAUGCCUCCCAAUGGCAUGUCUGCUAAAAAGUACAGAAUGAGCAUGACUCAUUUCCUCGGGUUCUCUAAGAAACAGCAACAAUUGAAGUCUGCGCAGAUAUUUUCGUAGACUGCUUUGGCUAUAGUAGUUUUACCCAUGC
rnacentral:lncRNA from 1 species